AUUGAACGCUGGCGGCAUGCCUUACACAUGCAAGUCGAACGGCAGCACGGGUGCUUGCACCUGGUGGCGAGUGGCGAACGGGUGAGUGAUACAUCGGAACAUGUCCUGUAGUGGGGGAUAGCCCGGCGAAAGCCGGAUUAAUACCGCAUACGAUCUACGGAUGAAAGCGGGGGACCUUCGGGCCUCGCGCUAUAGGGUUGGCCGAUGGCUGAUUAGCUAGUUGGUGGGGUAAAGGCCUACCAAGGCGACGAUCAGUAGCUGGUCUGAGAGGACGACCAGCCACACUGGGACUGAGACACGGCCCAGACUCCUACGGGAGGCAGCAGUGGGGAAUUUUGGACAAUGGGCGAAAGCCUGAUCCAGCAAUGCCGCGUGUGUGAAGAAGGCCUUCGGGUUGUAAAGCACUUUUGUCCGGAAAGAAAUCCUUGGCUCUAAUACAGUCGGGGGAUGACGGUACCGGAAGAAUAAGCACCGGCUAACUACGUG
rnacentral:rRNA from 1 species